AUCCCUCCGCCGAGCAGCACAGCAACAGCAAAGGCCAGCCAAGGGAGAUCGUAUGUCAGCCAUCUCGCGUCGCCACGAAAACACGACAGUCGUUCGUCAUGCCUUGGAUAUAACAGCAAAUCCUCCACGGCACCUGCUUUAUAUAACGCAAGAAGGCAGCUGCAAGGACACGAGGAUGUGAAAGAGCCAGUGCGGCGCGACUUCACGUAGUGCAGAGGAGCCAAUGUCAAAAAAUCAAAAUACAUUGGCAUGCGAUUUGGACAAGAAAACUAGGACAACCCAGGACGUGCAUUUCUCAGCACCCAGUCAACUGCCAGAAGUGACUCGAACACAGGCCACCAGAGACAAUGCCUACGAAAUUAUUGGCCCUGAUGACGAGAGCCCUCAAGGGGCAAACGACAUCUCUGUUGCAGAAGUGAGCCCGAUACCACCUAAAGUUACUAUGACAGGUGGCACGGCAGCAAUAGAUACAGAGACGGCCAUGUCUACUGCAGCUGCAACAGUGUACGAGGCAAGCAGCAGUGUGUCAGCAUCAGCAGCAGUGUCAGAAGGAACCGCACCACGCCUGGUAGAGCAACAUGUGUGCUAUCACUGUGACUUUUUUUGUAGUGCAUACAACUCAUUUGCUCAACAUACAAAAGCUUUUCACCACGACUGUGAGCCAGUGUUCUUGUGCAGCAAGUGCAAGACUAAGUUAAGUGUUAUAACACAGUACAAGCAUCAAUUUAAGAUAUGAAAACAUAUUACAGUUGUUGCCUCCCCAGCCAGCCCACAUAGCGACAACAAUGUGGAACACAUGGUGGGACACACAUCUUCUCCAUUAGAAGAUAGUAGAGACUGUCAGUGUUGUUGUUAGAUUAACUGGUCUUUGUAGGCAACUAGAAGGACAACACAGGUGUCAUAAGAUUGUUGUUUAUGUUGUUGUUGAAGAGGUAAAAAAGAAGUUUGAUGCAGCUGAAGUGCCAACUGAUAUUGAGCAAACAAGAACAACCACCUGAGAAAGCAACACUAUCGAAAUUUGGGUAUCUAUGUGCCGCCAACUCUGGUAAAGAUGGCAUAGGACAGAAGUGUGAUGAAAAUCACACAGACACUGCUGUUCCAUCACUGGUCACAGUGAGCAGUGACUUGUAGGGCAAGAGAGUCAACUGACACGAACAUUAUGGCAUAGUGUCAUGCUCCCAUGUGACCACUUUCCAUGUUAUUUUGCAUGAUACAGCUCAACCUCCAGAAACGAGACUGCAACUUGUCUGUAAAGAGCUUUCACAAAAAAUUAUUCAUAACACUAUUAACACAGCAGUAUCUGCUUUUUUGUGGGUUCGGGGUUCCCGGGUGUCCAUUAAUGCAAGAAUUGCGGAAAA
rnacentral:misc_RNA from 1 species